GGAAACAGAUGCUAAUACCGGAUAACAACAGAUGAUGCCUAUCAACUGUUUAAAAGAUGGUUCUGCUAUCACUCUUGGAUGGACCUGCGGUGCAUUAGCUAGUUGGUAGGGUAACGGCCUACCAAGGCGAUGAUGCAUAGCCGAGUUGAGAGACUGAUCGGCCACAUUGGGACUGAGACACGGUCCAAACUCCUACGGGAGGCAGCAGGU
rnacentral:rRNA from 1 species